AUGGCCAGGCCUGUUCCAACCCCUGGACUUUCAUCACUGUACGGUGCAGAGCUUUUGGUAUAAAUGUGUAAUCAUAUGACUGAGCCAAAAAAAGAGAGAGUGGUAAUAUAUCAAAAUUUAAAAAAAUUUUAUUGAGUUAUAAAUCUUAAUAUAGCCAUCUUAGCCAUAACCACAAAUAAACUCAUUUUUUCUGUUAAAAUACUUGACAGAGUCCUUGCAAUUGAAUGUCUUUGUUCAACAAAAACUGUAUUAAGUGUUUUAAAUUGAAAAUCUAAUCUUAUGCAAAUAGCUGGUGGUCAAAACCUUUUUCCAUCAAAAGAAGAUCUUUGGUUUGACUUCAUAUUCUGGGAUGUUUGUAGGUACCUGGAAUGGAAACACAAAAGUAGCCAUAAAGACUCUUAAACCAGGCACAAUGUCCCCCGAAUCAUUCCUUGAGGAAGCGCAGAUCAUGAAGAAGCUGAAGCACGACAAGCUGGUCCAGCUCUAUGCAGUGGUGUCUGAGGAGCCCAUCUACAUCGUCACCGAGUAUAUGAACAAAGUUUACUGGAUUUCUUAAAAGAUGGAGAAGGAAGAGCUCUGAAAUUACCAAAUCUUGUGGACAUGGCAGCACAGGUGGCUGCAGGAAUGGCUUACAUCGAGCGCAUGAAUUAUAUCCAUAGAGAUCUGCGAUCAGCAAACAUUCUAGUGGGGAAUGGACUCAUAUGCAAGAUUGCUGACUUCGGAUUGGCCCGAUUGAUCGAAGACAAUGAGUACACAGCAAGACAAGGUGCAAAGUUCCCCAUCAAGUGGACGGCCCCCGAGGCAGCCCUGUACGGGAGGUUCACAAUCAAGUCUGACGUGUGGUCUUUUGGAAUCUUACUCACAGAGCUGGUCACCAAAGGAAGAGUGCCAUACCCAGGUAAGAGCAGGGCCUCGCAGACAUGGGCCUGAGA
rnacentral:sRNA from 1 species